rnacentral:rRNA from 1 species
UACGGAAGGCAGCAGUGGGGAAUAUUGCACAAUGGGCGCAAGCCUGAUGCAGCCAUGCCGCGUGUAUGAAGAAGGCCUUCGGGUUGUAAAGUACUUUCAGUCGUGAGGAAGGUGUUAAGGUUAAUAACCUUAGCAAUUGACGUUAGCGACAGAAGAAGCACCGGCUAACUCCGUGCCAGCAGCCGCGGUAAUACGGGGGUGCGAGCGUUAAUCGGAAUUACUGGGCGUAAAGGGCACGCAGGCGGUUAAUUAAGUUGGAUGUGAAAUCCCCGGGCUUAACCUGGGAAUGGCAUUCAAGACUGGUUAGCUAGAGUCUUGUAGAGGGGGUAGAAUUCCAUGUGUAGCGGUGAAAUGCGUAGAGAUGUGGAGGAAUACCGGUGGCGAAGGCGGCCCCUGGGACAAGGACUGACGCUCAUGUGCGAAAGCGUGGGGAGCAAAC